rnacentral:rRNA from 1 species
AGCGAACGCUGGCGGCAGGCCUAACACAUGCAAGUCGAACGAAUGAAGUUCCUUCGGGAACGGAUUUAGCGGCGGACGGGUGAGUAACACGUGGGCAACCUGCCUCAUAGAGGGGAAUAGCCUUCCGAAAGGGAGAUUAAUACCGCAUAAGAUUGUAGUACCGCAUGGUACAGCAAUUAAAGGAGCAAUCCGCUAUGAGAUGGGCCCGCGGCGCAUUAGCUAGUUGGUGAGGUAACGGCUCACCAAGGCGACGAUGCGUAGCCGACCUGAGAGGGUGAUCGGCCACAUUGGGACUGAGACACGGCCCAGACUCCUACGGGAGGCAGCAGUGGGGAAUAUUGCACAAUGGGGGAAACCCUGAUGCAGCAACGCCGCGUGAGUGAUGACGGCCUUCGGGUUGUAAAGCUCUGUCUUCAGGGACGAUAAUGACGGUACCUGAGGAGGAAGCCACGGCUAACUACGUGCCAGCCGCCGCCGUAAAAC